CCAGUUUUAUUUUUUGACGCGUGGACAUCGUGGACAUACAGUACUGCACUUCAGUAACACUGCUAGCGAUCGAUGCAGCGAUUCUGUACUGCACAGGAGAGACAUCACGGAGGAGAUUGUCUGCAGCGAUCAGGACGCAGGACACAAUGUGACGUAAAAAAAAAAAAAAGCAUGCAAACUUGCACUAAAAAUCUGCGAAACAGCGAAGUGAAAGGUGAACUGCGUUAUAGCGAGGGACCACUGUAAUUUUGAAGGUGAAUGCAGAGUUCCUGCGGAUCACUACAAAACCCCUUCAGGCGAAGUUCUUGGCUCAGCUGAACAAUUUAACAGACAAGCUGAUGCAGAUUUUUGAGGGGAGCAAAGGAGCAAAGGGCCAAAAGAUCAAGGAUAUCAUGGCGAUCAGUAGUUUGUGUGAUGACAUCGACAUAAAGAGG